UAUCUUCAGGGCAGGGUGUGAUUCCUGACCGGCAGUGUAGCCUGCGAGCCGCUUGUGCGGUUGAUCCGGUGUGAUCCCGGAGCCGACGGUAAUAGUCCGGAUGAUAGAAGAU
rnacentral:ncRNA from 1 species